UUCACCACAGGCCCAGAUAUCUGUGGGGGGAGCUCUGGGCAGGAACUCAGCCUCUAUGGGAACCCUGAGAAAAUCAGACUGAAAUCCUGCCCAGGGAAAGCUGCAGUUGUUCAAGGAGAGCUUCAUUUCAAUACAUGUGGUCUCUGAGAAGAUUUGGGCCAACGACAGAUGAAUUCAACUCUGGGUUGUGGUAUGUUGACCACUAGGCAAGACUGCCCCAACUGGCCCACCGCUAGGGCUAGGGCCCAGCCUAACCUGUGGACACCUGAAGAGUCAUUGCUUCACAUUGCUGAAGGCUCUCAUUAGGUAGCUCUGGCUGUCCUGGAACAAAGAUCCACCAUUAUCUGCUAUCUGAGUAUUGGAAUUAAAGUUUUAUGCCACCACACCUGGACACUGUCACAAGUCCUAUUUCUAGUUGGAAAAUGUGGCGUGAAUGACGACUUUGUGACAAAUCACCAUUGGAGAAGAAGCCCAUUUUGACACUCCCUGUAACUUGGAAGCUUAUGACAGGUGCCGUCUUGAGAGGGGACACAUUAUAAGAGACUGAUCUACUUUGGACAUCUGGAAAUAAGGAUCAAUCACAAGCCAAAGAAACUAGGGAAACAGAACCACAGCCCAUGUGUGGGUAAUGGCUACACAAGGAAGUCAUGGUUGAUGAGAGGGCUGGACAAAGAUACAGUAAGAAGCUCAUGUGGCAAGAAACUCAAGUGAUGAAGCAUUAACCUAUUGGUGGCCCCAUCCUCUUUGGUAGGAGUGUGAUAACUACAUAGAAUAAAAGCUCCUAGCCAUCGGAUCGUACCUGUUCUAAAUCUGUGGCUACCAUACAGUUUUCCUCUCACAGGACUGGGAGAUCUACAGUUCAGUGGACAUUUCCUAUGGCCUCCUCUCUUCCAUGCGGUGUUUGAUUUUGAACAGAAAUAGCACUGAAACAGGUCUUCCAGCCAAUGUGUCUCAGUGCUUUACCUGAUACCUCCUAUCCCAAUACACUCAAGAGAUACGGUAGCCGUCCCAAAGUACAUAAACUGGAGACUAUCUAGAGCAAGAAUCUGGCACACAACCCGCAACAAUAAUAAUAAUGAGAAGUGACUGUUGGAACUUAAGGGAGGGAAGCUCAUAAAUAAUUCUGUCACUGCUGAGACAGUAACUUUCUAUAUUUCUCUGAGAAUGUCAUAGAAUUUAUUUUGAGCAUAUUUUCCAACUCCUUCUAGAUUCGUCCUCAGCUCUCUACCCAUCUAACUUCAUGUUGUCUUUCUUUUUAAAACUCAUUGUGUUCAGAUUUUGCUGCCCAAAAUACUUUUAGAUGUGGAGCCCUCCACAGAGCAUGGUGGACCUACCAGGGUUCACAUCCUCAAUGAAAACUGAUUCAGUUAUCAAUUGUCAAAAUUUCCUCUAGAUAGUGUUAGGGCUUUCCUGCCUCAUGCUGGGAUUUUUGUCUGGCGUGAUUCAUUCAUACAUCUUGUGCAUGCUGUGACAAUUCAUAUGAGUUUGUAUACGUAUGCAAUUGCCCUGUUGUAUUGGGAAACAUUAUUUUCUUAUAGUCAUCUAUUACUACUGGCUCUAACUAUCAUUCUUCCUCCUCUUCCAUACAGAACCCUAAGACUUGGGGAGAGGAGUGUUAUAUAGAUAUCUCAUUUAGGGCUGAGCAUUCAUAGUCUCUUAUUUUUUGCACUUUAACCAGUUGUGUCUCUAUGCUAAUUAAUGUGAUGGUUUAAGUGAGAAUGGCUCCUGUAGGCUCAAAUAGUUGAAUAUGUGGCCCUCAACUGGUAGAUCUUUUUGGGAAGGAUUAGGAGGUGUGGCCUUGUCAGAGGAAGUGUGUCACCAGGGAUGGGCUUUAAGUUAUAAAAGAUGCCCAUUCCCAGUUUGCUUACAGAUCAAGAUGUGAGCUCUUGGGCUAAAGAGGUGGCUCAGUGGUUAAGAUCAUUGUUCUGCUCUUCCAGAGGUCCUGAGUUCAAUUCCCAGCAACCACAUGGUGGCUCACAUACUAGACGCUUGCUUCUGGCAUAUAGGUGUAAAUGCAAAUAAAGCACUCAUAUACAAAAAUAAAUAAAUAAAUCUUUAAAAAAAGAUGUGAGCUCUUUGCUAUUCCUGCUGCCAUGCUUUUGAUGGGGCAUCACAGACUCUAACCCUCUGAUGCCACAAGCUCAG